rnacentral:rRNA from 1 species
AUACGGAGGGUGCAAGCGUUACUCGGAAUCACUGGGCGUAAAGCGCGCGCAGGCGGCUUGAUAAGUUGGAUGUGAAAGCCUACGGCUCAACCGUAGAACUGCAUCCAAAACUGUCAAGCUAGAGUCUGGGAGGGGAAGAUGGAAUUAGUUGUGUAGGGGUAAAAUCCGUAGAGAUAACUAGGAAUACCAAAAGCGAAGGCGAUCUUCUGGAACAGUACUGACGCUGAGGCGCGAAGGCGUGGGGAGCAAACAGGAUUAGAUACCCGGGUAGUCC